UACGUAGGGUGCGAGCGUUAAUCGGAAUUACUGGGCGUAAAGCGUGCGCAGGCGGUUUUGUAAGCCAGAUGUGAAAUCCCCGGGCUUAACCUGGGAAUGGCAUUUGGGACUGCAAGGCUGGAGUACGGCAGGGGAGACUGGAAUUCCUGGUGUAGCAGUGAAAUGCGUAGAGAUCAGGAGGAAUACCGAUGGCGAAGACAGGUCUCUGGGCUGAUACUGACGCUCAUGCACGAAAGCGUGGGGAGCAAACAGG
rnacentral:rRNA from 1 species